CUGCCUGCCAUUGGGACACAUGAGAAAAUGUUGCCACACGUGGUGGCUAAUUUUGUUUUAGGAAUUCGAUGAAUGCCAGCAAUCUAAUGUAUAAACUCCGUAGAGGCUCAUUAGGAAGACAUGACACGGUCACACGAAAACUGCUUUGGAGCACGCAUUAGGAAGACAUUU
rnacentral:lncRNA from 1 species